UUGCGUUUAUAGUGCGUUGGUAUCCAAAGUCGUCGUUGUUGUCGUAGCUACUAGUCGUUCGCCCCUGUGUAUAGUGUUUAUUUCGCAUUGUGGCUGUAGUGCUUGGCCCACAUAGCGACGUGUUCUCAUUACGUAUAAUUUAGUGGCUUUAUUGUCGCAUAAAUGAUUUUUUCCGCUUAAUAACGUGAUUAAUUGAUCGUAUCCAGGAAACAAUUGAGGUGCGGCUUAGUGAUUUGUUUCCUAAGGUGUGAAACCAAUACUCGUUGGCUGCAGCCAAUUUUGAUAAGUGUGGGAAAUGUUGUACUAAGCUAAGCGCUGCAAUUAGCUUGUGGUAGCUUUUGCUAAGCCGGCAGCGCAUGAGCGUUUAGUGAAGCUUGCAUUUUUGGUCAUAAUAAUUAAGCGUUUACUGAAUUUUAAUAAUUCAGUUUCGGCAGGAAGGAUGGAAUAAAUUGCAUGCGGUCUUUUAAAGCGUGUGUAGUCGGGUUUUGUACCAUAACGGCAUACUCGGUGCGUUUGUCGCUUGAAUCAAAUGUGUUGACAAUUAAAACAUUUGUUGGAGUUUUUUUGCAGCAUUUAAAUGCUACGUAAAGUUGUGUACAUUUUGUAUUGGAAAAAUUGAUUAUUGUGCGCGUUAUUGUUGGAGAUUUAAAAAGUCAAGUGAUUUUCAAAAAUAACAAAACCACAAAAUCCUGCAUUAGAGUUUCAAUUAUAAUAUACCUAUUUAUGGUGGCAUAAUUACAUAUAUAUAAACAAACAUUUUUGUGCUCAUACAUAUUACAGUUUAGUGUGUAGUGACAGUGCUUAUGGUGAAGGUGGCUCGUAAAAUGUUUGAUGUACUCGUUGCUCAUUGCAACACCUGACUGGCAUACCAACACGUAUUAAACGCCUUCACAACCACUGCGUCCACUAUACUUAUGUACAUACAUCCAUGUCACACAAGUGAAACGCGUGCAACGUGUUGUCGUUUAGACUGUUGUUGUUGUUGUCGCUGCUGCUUCUUUCUUCUAGAGGACACUCGAGUCGCGCAGCAUUAAGACUGCUUGUGUUUCUCCUGUCUGUCUUGUGUCCUCUAAGCUAUAUGCCCUCUGUGCUUGUCGUAAAAUAUCACCGUUGAACGUGCGCGGAUUAAAAAGCCACAAGCAAGUGUGUUAGUGCCGCGUCCUUUCCCACAGCGUGCCGUUUGUUAGCUAUACAGCGCCAGUGUAGUGAACUGCUGACUCUACUUCUUUUCGGACCUCAGCUAUAUUCUGCUAUUGAAACAGCGAACUCAUCAAAGUGCGAACUAUUAAUUCUGAUAUUACAUCUGAAAUAACUGUGACAAUAAUAAUAGCAAAGUUCAAGCAAAUAUAACAUCAAGUGAUUGGGUGAAGAAAAGGAUCGUCCGAAAAAGGGUUCAUUACGUGUGGCUAAUUGAU